GGUUAAGUGACUAAGCGUACAUGGUGGAUGCCUUGGCAGUCAGAGGCGAUGAAGGACGUACUAACCUGCGAUAAGCUGUGAGAAGUCGGUAAGAGACGCUAUUACUCACAGAUUUCCGAAUGGGGAAACCCACCCGAGAUAACUCGGGUAUCUGUUACUGAAUACAUAGGUAACAGAGGCGAACCGGGAGAACUGAAACAUCUAAGUACCCCGAGGAAAAGAAAUCAACCGAGAUUCCCUCAGUAGCGGCGAGCGAACGGGGAUUAGCCCUUAAGCAUCUUGGAAGUUAGUGGAACGGUCCUGGAAAGGCCGGCGAUACAGGGUGAUAGCCCCGUACACGAAAACAACCUUGAUGUGAAAUCGAGUAGGGCGGGACACGUGACAUCCUGUCUGAAUAUGGGGGGACCAUCCUCCAAGGCUAAAUACUCCUGACUGACCGAUAGUGAACCAGUACCGUGAGGGAAAGGCGAAAAGAACCCCUGUGAGGGGAGUGAAAUAGAACCUGAAACCGUGUACGUACAAGCAGUGGGAGCCCUUCGGGGUGACUGCGUACCUUUUGUAUAAUGGGUCAGCGACUUACAUUUUGUAGCGAGGUUAACCGUAUAGGGGAGCCGUAGGGAAACCGAGUCUUAACUGGGCGUCUAGUUGCAAGGUGUAGACCCGAAACCGGGUGAUCUAGCCAUGGGCAGGUUGAAGGUUGAGUAACAUCAACUGGAGGACCGAACCCACUAACGUUGCAAAGUUAGGGGAUGACCUGUGGCUGGGGGUGAAAGGCCAAUCAAACUCGGAGAUAGCUGGUUCUCCCCGAAAGCUAUUUAGGUAGCGCCUCGGACGAAUACUACUGGGGGUAGAGCACUGUUUGGGCUAGGGGGUCAUCCCGACUUACCAACCCCAUGCAAACUCCGAAUACCAGUAAGUACUAUCCGGGAGACACACGGCGGGUGCUAACGUCCGUCGUGAAGAGGGAAACAACCCAGACCGCCGGCUAAGGUCCCAAAGUUCUGGUUAAGUGGGAAACGAUGUGGGAAGGCUCAGACAGCUAGGAUGUUGGCUUAGAAGCAGCCAUCAUUUAAAGAAAGCGUAAUAGCUCACUAGUCGAGUCGGCCUGCGCGGAAGAUGUAACGGGGCUCAAACCAGGCACCGAAGCCGCGGAUUCACACUUAUGUGUGAGUGGUAGGGGAGCGUUCUGUAAGUCUGCGAAGGUGUAUCGAGAGGUAUGCUGGAGAUAUCAGAAGUGCGAAUGCUGACGUAAGUAACGAUAAAGGGGGUGAAAAGCCUCCUCGCCGGAAGACCAAGGGUUCCUGUCCAACGUUAAUCGGGGCAGGGUGAGUCGACCCCUAAGGCGAGGCCGAAAGGCGUAGUCGAUGGGAAGCAGGUUAAUAUUCCUGCACGACUUGUAAUUGCGAUGGGGGGACGGAGAAGGCUAGGUGGGCCAGGCGACGGUUGUCCUGGUGAAAGUGCGUAGGUGGUGUUUCUAGGCAAAUCCGGAGACACAACACUGAGACACGAGACGAACACACUACGGUGUGGAAGCCAUUGAUGCCCUGCUUCCAGGAAAAGCCUCUAAGCUUCAGAUUACAAGUCAUCGUACCCCAAACCGACACAGGUGGUCGGGUAGAGAAUACCAAGGCGCUUGAGAGAACUCGGGUGAAGGAACUAGGCAAAAUAGAACCGUAACUUCGGGAGAAGGUUCGCUCUUGACAGUGAAGUCCCUUGCGGAUGGAGCAGUUGGGAGUCGCAGUGACCAGAUGGCUGGGACUGUUUAUCAAAAACACAGCACUCUGCAAACACGAAAGUGGACGUAUAGGGUGUGACACCUGCCCGGUGCCGGAAGGUUAAUUGAUGGGGUUAGCGCAAGCGAAGCUCUUGAUCGAAGCCCCGGUAAACGGCGGCCGUAACUAUAACGGUCCUAAGGUAGCGAAAUUCCUUGUCGGGUAAGUUCCGACCUGCACGAAUGGUGUAACCAUGGCCAUGCUGUCUCCACCCGAGACUCAGUGAAAUCGAAUUCGCCGUGAAGAUGCGGUGUACCCGCGGCUAGACGGAAAGACCCCGUGAACCUUUACUACAGCUUGGCACUGAACAUUGAACCUACAUGUGUAGGAUAGGUGGGAGGCUUUGAAGGCGUGACGCCAGUUGCGCUGGAGCCGUCCUUGAAAUACCACCCUUGUAUGUUUGAUGUUCUAACGCAGGGCCCUGAAUCGGGCUCGCGGACAGUGCCUGGUGGGUAGUUUGACUGGGGCGGUCUCCUCCCAAAGAGUAACGGAGGAGCACGAAGGUUGGCUAAUCCUGGUCGGACAUCAGGAGGUUAGUGCAAUGGCAUAAGCCAGCUUAACUGCGAGACGGACAGGUCGAGCAGGUACGAAAGUAGGUCAUAGUGAUCCGGUGGUUCUGAAUGGAAGGGCCAUCGCUCAACGGAUAAAAGGUACUCCGGGGAUAACAGGCUGAUACCGCCCAAGAGUUCAUAUCGACGGCGGUGUUUGGCACCUCGAUGUCGGCUCAUCACAUCCUGGGGCUGAAGUCGGUCCCAAGGGUAUGGCUGUUCGCCAUUUAAAGUGGUACGCGAGCUGGGUUCAGAACGUCGUGAGACAGUUCGGUCCCUAUCUGCCGUGGGCGUUGGAUGAUUGAAGGGAGUUGCUCCUAGUACGAGAGGACCGGAGUGAACGAACCUCUGGUGUUCGGGUUGUCACGCCAGUGGCACUGCCCGGUAGCUAAGUUCGGAAUCGAUAACCGCUGAAAGCAUCUAAGCGGGAAGCGAGCCCUGAGAUGAGUCAUCCCUGACCCCUUGAGGGUCCUAAAGGGCCGUUGGAGACCACAACGUUGAUAGG
rnacentral:rRNA from 1 species